AACAAGCACAGAUUAUUAUACUGCUGUAUUGAUAAUAAAAUUUAAUUGAAGAUUGAUUUAUUUUUCUUAGGAUUUAAAAGCAAAAUGAAAAAAAACAAAAAACAAACAAACCCCAAACCACAAACUCAGGCCUCCUCUUUCCUACCCAAGGCUGAUGUUAUCUGCCCCUGAGCCCUGUGGAACAUCAACCUACUGCAGGUGCUGGAAUCUCCGUAGACCAUAAAUGUACCAUGGCUACCAUACACACAUCGUUUCGGUCUUGGGAGUCAAAAUGACGCCCUACAGCCUCAUAGCCCAUGGGUUUAGGCCGAACUUUGAGACAGUUUAUUUUUAUUCACAUCUAUGUUGGCCUGGCUCAAAUGAAACUGAGCAACCUGGACACUCUGAUCAGGGGCUAGGAAAACAUACACCAGAUUCCUUCGUGGCAAAGACUUUCUAGUCUGUUUUCCAGGGAAUCAACCCAUCACUGGUGAUAACAGGAAUAGUCCACAAAAGCAGAUGCUAAAACGGGAUUCUGUAGCUGAAUCACCUGCGGUUCCGGCUGGCAAUGAGGACUUCGUAACUGCUGGGCCGGCGCCCACCCCACUCGCUUGAACACAGUGCCGUGGCUGUGUCCCCAAGGCAGAGGCGCCCUCCUCAGCGUCUGCCCCUACCUGCCCUCCUGGCCAUGACCUGCGUUCUGUGACCCACCUGGGCCAGUGCCAGACCUGGCCGGGAGAAAAAGGACGCCACACAGAGGGAGCUGCGGGCCACCAGCACCCCCUGCGGGAGCCAGCAGAGGACACUCGGAGCUGGUGCUGAGAUCCCGCAUCACGGAGUGGGGGUAGGGAGGGACGUUGGGGGCGUAUUGACUGUUUUUUCUUACUCUUGAUGGCCUGGCAUUUGGGGCCUUAAUCCUGGAGAGACUCCCAGGGCUAGAUAAUUCCUAGGGAUGGCAAAUAACCGUCCUGUGAACAUGCAUUCGAUAUACCUGUGCAAGCCAGAGCCCCGCUGCAAGCCAUCUUCUUUGUCAGACUCUCAGCCAGACGCGGUGGUGUGCACUUGUAGCUCCAGCUGCUCUGGAGCUGGCUGAGACGGGAGGAUCACUUAAGCCCAGGAGUGGGAGGCUGUAAUGUGCAAUGUUUGAAUCUGCAUUCCAGCCUGGGCAACAAUACUGAGACCCUCAUCUCUAAAAAUAAAAUUCUCAAACAUCAAGCCAAUAAUCCCCCUACCCUCAAUCACCCAAGGUCAGUUACUGGUAAACUGAGGACCACCCCUAUAGCCCUGAGCCUGAUGAAAUUAUUCAAACUAUCCAAUCCAACACAUAUUUAGCAUACUUAUCCUGCCUCACUCUUUCCUUCCUGAGAAAACCCCAGUUAAAGGCUCUGGGCCAUGCUCCCCCUCUUUUUCUGACUCCCGACCCCCCCUGGUCCUUCCUUACUGGCCCUGCAUGGUGCACCGUGCCUCCCGUUUCUAGGCUCUGUGAGUAUAAACUUCUUCCUUCGUGACGGUCAUUUCCAUGUCUGC